GGAGACGCCCCAAGAAAUUAGAGCAAGAAACCUACUGGGUCGCUCCAAUCUUUAUAUCCGUCCAAAGAUUACAGAAGCCAAUGACGACUCAACUGGUGGAGAAGUGGUGCAGUCUGAAAUGGCAAUUGUGCUGCAUGACACAGAGACACCUGACCAUGGCAGGCACAAUGUACAGGAGCCAGAGGUUAUCAGUGGUCUGCAUGAAAACCAUACAGCUAAUUCUAGUAGGC